GAUGAAGAACGUAGCGAAAUGCGAUAAGUAAUGUGGAUUGCAGAAUUCAGUGAAUCAUCGAAUCUUUGAACGCACAUUGCGCCCCCUGGUAUUCCGGGGGGCAUGCCUGUUCGAGCGUCAUUUCACCACUCAAGCCUCGCUUGGUAUUGGGCAACGCGGUCCGCCGCGUGCCUCAAAUCGACCGGCUGGGUCUUCUGUCCCCUAAGCGUUGUGGAAACUAUUCGCUAAAGGGUGUUCGGGAGGCUACGCCGUAAAACAACCCCAUUUCUAAGGUUGACCUCGGAUCAGGUAGGGAUACCCGCUGAACUUAAGCAUAUCAAUAAGCGGAGGA
rnacentral:misc_RNA from 1 species